rnacentral:rRNA from 1 species
GGUCAGGAUGAACGCUAGCUACAGGCUUAACACAUGCAAGUCGAGGGGCAGCAUUGGGAUAGCUUGCUAUUCAGAUGGCGACCGGCGCACGGGUGAGUAACGCGUAUCCAACCUUCCUGCCAGUAGGGAACAGCCCGGCGAAAGUCGGAUUAAUGCCCUAUGUUCUUCAAUGCGGACAUCUAAGUUGAAGGAAAGAUUCAUCGCUGGCAGAUGGGGAUGCGUCCGAUUAGCUUGCCGGCGGGGUAACGGCCCACCGGGGCGACGAUCGGUAGGGGUUCUGAGAGGAAGGUCCCCCACACUGGUACUGAGACACGGACCAGACUCCUACGGGAGGCAGCAGUGAGGAAUAUUGGUCAAUGGGCGUAAGCCUGAACCAGCCAAGUAGCGUGCAAGGAUGACGGCCCUACGGGUUGUAAACUGCUUUUAUGCGGGGAUAAAGUGCGGCACGUGUGCCGCUUUGCAGGUACCGCAUGAAUAAGGACCGGCUAAUUCCGUGCCAGCCGCAGC